rnacentral:rRNA from 1 species
CAGCCGCCGCGGUAAUACGAAGGGGGCUAGCGUUGCUAGGAAUUACUGGGCGUAAAGGGCGCGUAGGCGGACAGUUCAGUCGGGGGUGAAAGCCCGGAGCUCAACCUCGGAAUUGCCCUCGAUACUGGCUGUCUUGAGUAUGAGAGAGGUGUGUGGAACUCCGAGUGUAGAGGUGAAAUUCGUAGAUAUUCGGAAGAACACCAGUGGCGAAGGCGACACACUGGCUCAUUACUGACGCUGAGGCGCGAAAGCGUGGGGAGCAAACAGGAUUAGAUACCCGGGUAGUCCCUGUCUCUUAUAC